UACGUAGGGUCCGAGCGUUGUCCGGAUUUAUUGGGCGUAAAGAGCUCGUAGGCGGUUCCGUAAGUCAGAUGUGAAAAACUCAGGGCUCAACCCGGAGACGCCAUCUGAUACUGCGGUGACUGGAGUCUGGUAGGGGGAACACGGAAUUCCUGGUGUAGCGGUGAAAUGCGCAGAUAUCAGGAGGAACACCAAUGGCGAAGGCAGCUCGCUGGGACGGUACUGACACUCAACUACGAAAGCGUGGGGGAGCAAACAGG
rnacentral:rRNA from 1 species